rnacentral:rRNA from 1 species
GAUGAACGCUGGCGGCGUGCCUAAUACAUGCAAGUCGAGCGAACAGACGAGGAGCUUGCUCCCCUGACGUUAGCGGCGGACGGGUGCGUAACACAUGGAUAACAUACCUACCCGACUGGGGUAAAUUCGGCAGACCGGAGCUCCUACCGGAUGAUAUAUUGAACCUCAUGGUUCAAUCGUGAAAUACGGUUUUUCUUUGGCUUAUAGAUGGAUCCGGGCCGCAUUAGCGGUUCUGGAAGGUUACGGCUUACCAAGGCAACGACGCGUACGCGACCAGAGAGGGGGAUCGGGCAGACGGGCACAGAGACACGGUCCAGACUCCUAGAGGAGGCAGCGGUAGGGAAUCUUCCGCAAUGGGCGAAAGCCUGACAGAGCAACGCCGCGUGAGUGAUGAAGGUAUUCGGAUCGUAAAACUCUGUUAUUAGGGAAGAAGAAAUGUGUAAGUAACUAGGCACGUCUUGACGGUACCGAAUCAGAAAGCCACGGCUAACUACGUG